rnacentral:sRNA from 1 species
CGAGCACUAUUCGAUGUUGCAGCGAAUGGCCUGAUUGGUUCUCUAUCCGUACAGAUUCAUCCUCCUGGACAUGUCCACCCUUGACCUUGGAACCGCGCGCAUCCUCUCUGCCUGCACGGAGAAGUGUUGAAGAGCUGCGAUAGAGCUACCCGGCUCUCAUACCAGCCUUGCAGUCGCAAGAUUGGAAACACUGAAGUACUCACUUAAGUAACUGAGAGCUUCUAAGAUCCUCCUACCUGCUGUGAAUGAUAGCAACUUUUGCAAGGAGGUCUGUCGCGACGUUGUGAACAACUCUGAAAUCUUGGGUACGAUUUUGAAGAGAUUCUGGAGAAGGAGAAGAGGGCGAGGAUUGAAGAGAGUCUGCGCAUAAUCGUUAGCU